UCUUAUCCCGAGUUGGUAGAGGGAACAGGCCCGAUGAUACCCGGCAACCAACACCUUCAUGGUGAAAAGGUGCUAAACCUGGUGCGAAGCAAUAGCUUUGAACGAUAAGA
rnacentral:ncRNA from 1 species